GAUGAACGCUGGCGGCGUGCCUAACACAUGCAAGUCGAGCGAAGCGGGGACGGGUGAGUAACACGUGGAUAACCUCCUAUAAGACUGGGAUAACUCCGGGAAAACGGAGUUAAACCCGACACAUACAGAAGGAUCCGCGCCGCAUUGGCUAGUUGGGAAGGUAAUGGCUUACCAGGGCAACGAUGUGUAGCCGGCCUGAGAGGGGGAUCGGCCACACUGGAACUGAGACACGGUCCAGACGCCUACGGAAGGCAGCGGUGGGGAAUCUUCCGCAAUGGGCGAAGGCCUGACGGAGCAACGCCGCGUGAGUGAUGAAGUUCUUCGGAUCGUAAAACACUUUUAGUAGGGAAGCGGUACCUAAUCAGAAAGCCACGGCUAACUACGUGCCAGCAGCCGCGGUAAUAC
rnacentral:rRNA from 1 species